ACUCUGGAACCGCCUCAAGGACCGAGGACGUCCUCAAAGACCUUCUGGGGUCCGUCGGAGGAGGAACUGGACACCACCCAAAGACCUCCGACGCUCCCAAAAUGACUACUGGCAGUUACUCGAUGUGGCCUACCAGUGGAACCUCCUGGAGGACUGUAGAAGACCUUUAGAACUCUGACAAGAACAAAUUGUCUAGUUAAAGAGCAAUACAACCAUCCAAGGACCCCUUAGAAUUUCCUAUUGGACCUCAAGAACCCGAUAGAAUUCAAUUCUUGGACCAUUCAGGUGUCCUAAGAACUUCCAGGAGACCUUCGUUGACUUUGUGAGCCUCCCCCCCCCCUGUUAAAAAACAUGCUGAAUGCGUCGCCGAUGUGGUGACAAAGGGUCUUUUACCUGAGGCCUGAACCUCGGUGAUGUACUGCUGAAGGUCGUGACCCUGCUGGAUGACCUCAUAGAUCAUGUUGUUCAUGGCCAGCCUUCGCUCCAUGUGCCUGCAGAUCAAUAAUCUCCAUCAGUGCCUCGCAGUGGACCCUUUUUUAACGUUCUGUUACUUUACUUGGUUACCUGUGGAUGCGCUGCUGCGCUAGCGUUAGCAUGUCGGCGCUAGCUUCCGCUAGCCGCGCCUGGCCCAGCACUAGCUUGUCCUGGUUAGCGUCAGCGAGCCGCGAUGACGCUAGCCUCUCUGCGGAGAAGUCCUGGGACUGUUUGUGAAGGUCCUGCUUCCAGGCGUCCAUUUCCCCCGUUACCUAGGAAACGGUGACACACGUCAGGUGGGGGGCACCCUGACGUAUUGAUGGUCAAUAAACCUCGUACCUCCAGGGUGCACUGCUGCAGGAUGCGGAGCUGCAGGUAAACGUCCAGUCGGAUCUUCCUCUGGUGGAAGAGUUCUUCCAGCUGAACGUGGGACUCCUCCAGCUGCUGAAGCACUGUCUCCACAUGGACCAACGAGCUGCCCUGAGGCCUGAAACAAACGCACCUCAAAGGGUUAUAGAUAUCCGGCCACUUGGACAGAGGCCAUUUGAUGAAGAAAACAAUCACCCCUCAAAUCAAAAUGCUGAAAGCGAAAUGCUAGAAAUUAAUUUGAAAGAUUUUUUUAGUAGUAAUAUUAGUAGUUAGUAGUAGUAGUAGUUAGUAUUAGUGAUAAUUGUAAUUGUAGUAGGGUUAGUAGAGGGCUCGAGGGGGUGUUGGUCUUCUGUGACGGGGGUUUAGAACAUGGUUGGGGGAUAUGGGGAGCUGCUCAAAGCGAUUUUAGUUAAGUUAGGGAGCAUUCCAACAAUGAGUGGGUGCGUGUGUUUUACCACUAAGCAAUGUAAUCAUUGUUGGAAUGCUCCCUAACUUAACUUGUUUGAGGUGUGGAUUCUGUGUAAAUUUACAAACAAAUAAAACAAGCACACCCACAAAGGAUAUGAAAUUACCAACAAAAGUGAAAAUCAAACCCACCCAAACUACAAGAAAAAGCCGACUCACAAUACGCAAACACCAAAACAAACACACCCUUCAGAUAACUACAAAACAAAAGCUCCAAAAUUGCAAAAUAGAAACGCCCCCCGGACUACAAAACAAACAUACCCAUUUUCUCCACAGUAAAUCAUAAAUCAAACAUACGCAAACUAAAAUAAAAGCACCCAACAGAAAAAUACUACAUAAAUGCUUGCAAAAUACAAAAUAAAACCAUGAACCCACGACUACAAAACCAACAGUGUCCACAGAUUCACCAGCGCCAAACUGACGCAAGCGAAUUAAACGCACCCACACUCUGCGCGUACCUGAGUUGCAGGAUGAGGUCUUCUCCUUCCCUGAUGACACUCAUUGCAGCUUCCUGCGGGUCAGGGUUAGAGUCGGGGUUAGUGUGAGGGUUAGCGCCGUGGGGUCAGAGGCAACAGGGGUGUUAGGGUGUUACGACAGGGUCGAAGGUCAGCGGGCUCACCUGCGUAUUCGCCUGCUGCUGCUGCUGCUGGCUGAUCAAAGCCUGAAGAGCUUCAACGGUGUCGGGACAAACACAGAGGUCAGAGGAGAGCUGCUUCUGGAGGCCCUCCAUCCACACUGAGAGCUGGGGGGGGCAUACCAAGGCUCAAUGAACACAGUCUGUGAAUCCAUGCACUUAUUUUGACAAAUGCCUUUCAGAUGUCAGAGCAGGAGGAGGAAGAGGAGUCAGGAUAGAUGAGGAGGUGGAGGAGGAAACAAAAGCGAGGUAGGAGGUGCCGAGGAGUUGAGGUGGAGGCGGGACAUAGAAGGUGUACUACCUCCUUGGUGUGUGUGUAGAAAGACACAGCGAGGUCCAGCAGCAGCUUCCUCUGUUCAACUCUCUGAAUGAACGCCUGCACACACACACACACACACAAUGAGAACACUUCCUGUAGCUGUCCUUCAGAAUAAAAGCCCCCCUGGUAUUUGUUCACCUGCAUGCGGAGCUCCAGGUCUCUGGCCGCCUGGUAGAUCUCUUCCUCCUUACACUCUCCAGACUGAGCCAGCUGAUCGGCUGCUUCCAGAAGCUUCUCUGCAUUAGUGUAGGUGUUCUGUGACACACACACAUCAGUUCGUGCAGGUCUGGGUAGCGUUCAGGUAGUCCGGUCUAGGUGGGGUUCAGGUAGUCCAGGUCUAGGUGGGGUUCAGGUAGUCCAGGUCUAGGUGGGGUUCAGGUAGUCCAGGUCUAGGUGGGGUUCAGGUAGUCCAGGUCUAGGUGGGGUUCAGGUAGUCCGGGGCUAGUUAGUCCACGUCUAGUUGGGGUUUACCUGUGCAACCUGCUGGAAGUCGUCAUGGCGUUUCUGCAGCGCUCGUGCCCGGUGAAGAGACUUCCCCACGCCACUGUGUUUGUUCAGGAAAACCUCCCCGUGCUGCUCCACCCAGUCCAACACCUGAGACCGGUGGAGAAAGAGAGAGACAGGUGGGGCAACUGGCCUCUGAAUACAAGGUGUAGAGUCUGGAUAUGGAUCCGUCGUACCUGUCUGACAUCUUGCUGAAAAACACACAGUUGCAGGCGCUGAUGGAGGCGGAGUUUACGGUGCUGCCACACCCCCUCCACCUCUUGGUGACCCUGCAGAUGACAAAAAGCUCACGUGAGUCCACCUGCCUGUCUGCUGGUCACAUGUGAGACACAUCACCACGAGCCGUACCUGCAUGACCUGGUGCAGAGCUCCCAUGAUGCCGUGCGUGGCGUUGGCGAGAUCCGGCCUGGUUGUGGGGUUGUCGGAGUCGGUUGCUGGGCAACGCUGGAGUACGUCCAUUAAGGCCUUACCGCUCUCACUAACCUGCACGCAAAGAAAGAGACAGGUGUUCAGACAGACAUCAGACAUACAGGUAUGCAGACAGACAGGUGUUGAUAGAGACAGGUACCUGUGUGUAGUUAGCAGAGAUCUCCUCGUUCAGCUCCUGAUGUUUCUUCGUCGCGGCCUCCAGCUCUGUUGCCGCCGAGGGCAACGCCCCCUCAGAGCACACCUGGACCCAGCCCUCCAAUCUGAGCAGGAACUGGACAGAGAGGCAGACGGGUGAGUGGGGAUACCCAGGCGGGUCGUGGCAUGACAGACAGGUAUAAAGGUUAGAGGUGAGACAGGUAGACACGGGCAUGAGACAGGUGCCUCGCUGUUGCGUAAUAACCUGCUCGGCCCCCUGGUGGAAGCUAGUUGCCAUGGCGAGCGUGUUGCUGCGCUCUUCCAGCGCCGCCGUCAGCGCCCUCCAGUCGCCCUGCAGGCGCAGCGACACUCCGGCGAUGCGCUCCGCCCCGUGGUGGCCCGCCUCCGCCAGUCUGGUUGCCACGGUGACCACGCUGUCCACGUUCAUGCUGCCGUUCUGGGGGGUCACACGAGUGCUGUUAGGCAGGCGUCACGGCAACGGCGACAAACAAGCAAAUAAACAAGCAACUCACCAUGCAGUUGGCCGUGAAGUGCUGGUGCUGCGUCUGGAGGUCCAGGGCAUGCUGGUGGUUCUGACCCACCGCAGAUAGGGUCUGCAGGAACAGGUCCUGACUGUGAGCGAUCCAGUCCGACAUCUGGGGGAGGGGAGGGAGAACUUUAUCACAAGUACCAGUACUUUAUCACAAGUACUUUUCACAGGUACCAGUAAGUAAGAUAGACGGGUAUGUGGACGGACAGACAGGCAGAUAUACAGAUGGACACACAGACUGCCGGGUUUGUGGGCAGACAGUUUGUGUCCCUAGAGCAGCAGGUUCCUAAAUGACUCCAGGUGACCCCUGACCCUGAAUCCCACCUUGGUGGCGUCCUGCUCAAACAGGUGCAGCUGCAGCACCUGGUCCAGGUGCAGCUUCCUGUCGCUCCAGCUCUGCAGCAGGUGUCCGCGGGCCCCCUGCAGCCUGUCCAGCAGGGACGACACCUUUGGCGCCACGCUGUGGAAGUCGGCUCCACCCGACAGCCAGCUGCCGUUACUAGCGCCGGCGCCUCCUUCGGUGGAGGCGUCGCCGUGGGAGGGGCCUAGGCGCAUGCGCUGAAGCAAGCUCCUCCCCUCUCUCUCGAGGGAGUCAACCGGUGCCGUUGCGAUGGUGUUACGUAGCCGGCUGUGUUCCUCCAGAAGUCUGGAGACGGAAAGUUAUUAUAUUAUUAUUAUUAAUAAUGAAUAAAUACUCUCUUAAGUUACCACACUAACUCACUUGCGGGCCUCGUCCACGUCCUGUGGCUCCGGUAUGCGGUUCAGCCCGGCCUCCAGCUGCUCCAGCUGACUCAGCAGCUGUGUGGCGGCGCCGGUGAACUCCUCCAGGCCCAGACGGAGCUCGGUCCACUCCACGUGGUCGUACUCCAACGAGCCGCCGAGGUCAGAGGUCAGUUGGGAGGGGUCAACGAGCCGGGACAGACCCUCCACCGACACCAGGCUGGUCUGGACAUGGGUUUGUUAGCAUUAGCAGUACUUCAGUUAGCAUCAGUAGUAAUUUAGUUAGCAUUACUUCAGUUAACAUCAAUAGUAAUUUAGUUAGCAUUAGCAGUACUUCAGUUAGCAUCAGUAGUAAUUUAGUUAGCAUUACUUCAGUUAACAUCAAUAGUAAUUUAGUUAGCAUUAGCAGUACUUCAGUUAGCAUCAGUAGUAAUUUAGUUAGCAUUACUUCAGUUAGCAUCAGUAGUAAUUUAGUUAGCAUUACUUCAGUUAGCAUCAGUAGUAAUUUAGUUAGCAUUACUUCAGUUAGCAUCAGUAGUAAUUUAGUUAGCAGUACUUCAGUUAGCAUCCAUACUGCUGCUAAUUUCGUUAGCAGCAGUAUGGAUUCCAGCAACUAGUCUAGUGAACAAUGUGCUAGCGGCAGUACUACAGCGGUUAUUACCACGGUACUACUCAUAGGGAGUAGUACCUCGAAGCUGAGCUUGGCGCUGCCCAGGUUGGUCUUGUGUUUCUGCCAGAAUGUGUCGGGUUUGAUGAGAAGCGCCGUGUGGAUGUUGGAGGAAAAGGACUCCUGCAGCGUGCGUAGAACCGGCUUCACGCUGUCCCACUUGCUGCCGCGCAUGUCCACCACCACCGUGAAGCCACGAGCGCACACGUCCUCACUGAUGGACAAACAGGCAGAUGGGCGCGGGGGGGUUGAGCGAGACAGGCCGAGCGAGAUACAGGUGCAGAGGUCAUGAGGUGGACAGAGAUGGAGGGCGUUACCAGGGUAUGGUUGCCAGGUAGGUGACCAACUGGCUUAGGUCUUCCUGUUUUAUUCGAUCAUGAUUGGUCCUGGCAGGGAAGGUCAGUAUUGGUCCGCCACGUUUGUCCCGCCCACCUGAGAGAACACAGUCAGUCAAACUGGGCCGCAUCGGGACUGAACUGGGUUAAAUGCGCAGGUGUGUUUGUUUUACCCGACACGAAGGCCACUUUCUCUCUGAGCACCGUCAGCACGUCGACCGCUCGGACGCACUCCGCUUUACCACAACCUCGGGGGUAGAAACACACAUCUGUCAGCUUCAUGGACACGCCCACACCGAUCGCUUCUGACAGACGAGGCAGCGAUGUUGUUCCGUAUUAUUAUUGCGGGCGAACUGCCCGAGCGGGUGGGGGGGGGGGGGAUUUACUUGGAUUAAAAAGUUGAGUGAAAAGUAGCCUGUGAGCCUAAAAAGUGUGGGGAUCCCUGCGUUCGACCUUUGCCACCACGGCCUUCCUCCAGCCCCCCCCGGCCUGGCCCACUUGAGAUCAACCUAAAGAUGAGUUUGACUCCCCUGAUUUAGAUCAAGAGUUUAACGGAGCCGACCAGCACGGUGUGUGUGUCCGUGUGUGUGUCCGUGUGUGUGUGCAGACGGGCCUCCCAUGUGAGUCAGCUCGUCCAGCGCGCACUGAGGGCAUCAAGCCGCUCACAGCGCCGGUGACACUCGGAGGAAGGGGGGAGCCUAAAAACACGAAGGAGAUGAAGAAGAACGCUCCCUAGCUCCUAGCCGAGUCCUCUUUCCUUGGGUCCUCCCUUCGGACCGACCAGUCUCCUCGGACCCCAAACUGACUGUUUGAUGUAGACCACCCAAUUAAAAGCACGCUGUUAACACAAAGCUUCACGUAGAGCUGUAGGGGAACAGAACCACCACAAACCUACUGAAUGACAAUAAUAGAGGCGUGUUUUAUUCUACUACAAAGCUUUUACACAGCAUUUAUAACCACAUGUGUAGUAUUUAUCAUUGUACUUUGUCUUUCAAAACAGUACAAGUGCUUUGGUUUCUUCACAAUAAAAGCCCUUCAAUAGUUUAGUCCUUAAAAUAUUUGUAAAUUUCUUAAAUGGGGAUUGAUGUCUCGAAAUGAAAGUCCUUCCUACCUCCUGGCCGUCGACCUCCUGAUAAAACUUAAACGUGACACUGACUGAUCACGGAUCAGCUGUCAAUCAGGACGAUCAGCUGGCAGAUACAGAAAGGAUUUCCAUUGUGAUGAAGCAGUCUGACACACACACACACACACACACUGAUACAGUGAGGAGACUAGAAUAGCUGCAGAUGAAAAGCCUCCAGAGAAGUCGCUGUCAGUCUGUCAGGACUCAUCACACCAAUUACGUAACCAAAACUAAUAAAGAUGUUCAGCCACGAUGUCCUCUCCGAAAUCAGAGCUGGACUUUGGUGCUGUUUUAUAUCGUAAUGUGAAUAAACGUUUCCAAAUGUACAAAUGCGUCCGAUACCAACCUGCUGCUUUACUGUCAGAGCUAACAGAUGAAUAAAAUAAUAUAAAAUCAUGCGUUACUGAUCCACUAACUGAUUUACUACACGUUCCACCAGUAACAUCCCAUCAACGGGGUUGCCACGGUUACCGUACCUUUCAAUUAAACCCCCUCUGAUAUGAUUUUAAUUGAAGCCUGUCGUCCAAUCAGAGGGCAGCAUUUCUUUCACAAUCGCGGUGUAUUAACACCGCUGAUACUUCAAUUGGAGGGAAUGUAAAGCUUCCAUGUGAGUACACAUGACGUCACACACACGGAUAACCAAGCAGGCCUUCCCACAAUCCUCCUUGGUAGGACCCCCAACCACACACAAAUACACACACACAUUCUCUGAGUGAAUGGGCGCGGGUGGAGGCAUCAUGGCGACAGCAGCUCCUACUACACACACACACACACACACACACACACACACACACACACACACACACACACACACACACACCCUACCUGCCGUCGCCAGGCCGUCCGGGCCCGCUUCCCCUCCAUCUACCGAAUUCAUCCUCCCUCCUCCUCCGUUAUGCGGCGUCGCUCCCCGUGCGGACCUGCGGGUUCACAUCAGACCGGAUCGGUGCAGGCUACCGGAUGUGUUCCGCUCCUCCGGUACCGAUGAGACCGUCACUGCCGCCUCCGCCUCCUGCUCCGCUCUUCUUACGUUCCCGUGAUCCCGUGCAGCAUCACGUCCCGUCACCGUGAGCUUCCCGGUGUGUGUCUCUCGCUCUCUCGGACCGGGCAGCGGACGGUCGGUGUAUCGGUGUGUGCGCGCGCGGGCGCGUGUGUGUGUAGCGCGCAGGCGCACCGGAGAGCGAGGGGCGCUGUGCGCG
ensembl:lncRNA